GAAGAAGGCCUUCGGGUUGUAAAGCUCUUUCGGCCGGGGAAGAAAUCGCAUGGGUCAAUACCCUGUGUGGAUGACGGUACCGGAAUAAGAAGCACCGGCUAACUACGUGCCAGCAGCCGCGGUAAUACGUAGGGUGCGAGCGUUAAUCGGAAUUACUGGGCGUAAAGCGUGCGCAGGCGGUUUUGGUAAGUCAGAUGUGAAAUCCCCGGGCUCAACCUGGGAACUGCAUUUGAGACUGCCAAGCUGGAGUUUGGCAGGAGGGGGGUGGAAUUCCACGUGUAGCAGUGAAUGCGUAGAGAUGUGGAGGAACACCGAUGGCGAAGGCAGCCCCCUGGGCCAAUACUGACGCUCAUGCACGAAAGCGUGGGGAGCAAACAGGAUUAGAUACCCUGGUAGUCC
rnacentral:rRNA from 1 species